ACCUACAGAUCGACUGCUCGGGAUGCCCCAUCCCACCAGGGCAGCCAAUAAAAAAGUAGGACAGAACAGGAUCUCUUGCCAUUGGGUGUGAUGCGACUCUGCCCCUCAAAGUGAAUCUGGAGAUUCUACAGCA
ensembl:snoRNA